rnacentral:rRNA from 1 species
UAAUACGAAGGGUGCAAGCGUUACUCGGAAUUACUGGGCGUAAAGCGUGCGUAGGUGGUUGUUUAAGUCUGCUGUGAAAGCCCUGGGCUCAACCUGGGAAUUGCAGUGGAUACUGGGCGACUAGAGUGUGGUAGAGGAUAGUGGAAUUUCCGGUGUAGCAGUGAAAUGCGUAGAGAUCGGAAGGAACAUCUGUGGCGAAGGCGACUAUCUGGGCCAACACUGACACUGAGGCACGAAAGCGUGGGGAGCAAACAGGAUUAGAUACCCUGGUAGUCCACGCCCUAAACGAUGCGAACUGGAUGUUGGGCACAACUUGGUGCCCAGUAUCGAAGCUAACGCGUUAAGUUCGCCGCCUGGGGAGUACGGUCGCAAGACUG